rnacentral:rRNA from 1 species
GGCCUACGGGACGCAGCAGUGAGGAAUAUUGGGCAAUGGGGGCAACCCUGACCCAGCCAAGUCGCGUGAGGGAAGACUGCCCUAUGGGUUGUAAACCUCUUUUGUCAGGGAGCAAUUGGCGCUACGUGUAGCGUUAUCGAGAGUACCUGAAGAAAAAGCAUCGGCUAACUCCGUGCCAGCAGCCGCGGUAAUACGGAGGAUGCGAGCGUUAUCCGGAUUUAUUGGGUUUAAAGGGUGCGUAGGCGGAAUGCCAAGUCAGCGGUAAAAUCGCGGGGCUCAACCUCGCUCCGCCGUUGAAACUGGCG